GAUGAACGCUAGCGACAGGCCUAACACAUGCAAGUCGAGGGGCAGCACAUGCGUAGCAAUACAAUGGUGGCGACCGGCGCACGGGUGAGUAACACGUAUGCAACCUACCUGUAAGUGGGGAAUAACCCGGAGAAAUCCGGACUAAUACCGCAUAAUACUUUUGAACUGCAUGGUUUAAAAGUUAAACAUUUAUGGCUUACAGAUGGGCAUGCGUAUGAUUAGUUAGUUGGUGAGGUAACGGCUCACCAAGACAUCGAUCAUUAGGGGUUCUGAGAGGAAGGUCCCCCACACUGGUACUGAGACACGGACCAGACUCCUACGGGAGGCAGCAGUGAGGAAUAUUGGUCAAUGGGCGAGAGCCUGAACCAGCCAAGUCGCGUGAAGGAAGACGGUUCUAUGGAUUGUAAACUUCUUUUGUAAGGGAAUAAAAAAGAGUACGUGUACUUUCUUGUAUGUACUUUACGAAUAAGGAUCGGCUAACUCCGUGCCAGCAGCCGCGGUAAUGUA
rnacentral:rRNA from 1 species